AUACGUAGGGAGCGAGCGUUGUCCGGAAUUACUGGGUGUAAAGGGAGCGUAGGCGGGAGUGCAAGUCAGAUGUGAAAUACAUGGGCUCAACCCAUGGGCUGCAUUUGAAACUGCAUUUCUUGAGUGAAGUAGAGGUAAGCGGAAUUCCUGGUGUAGCGGUGAAAUGCGUAGAUAUCAGGAGGAACACCGGUGGCGAAGGCGGCUUACUGGGCGUUUACUGACGUCGAGGCUCGUAAGGGUGGGGAGCAAACAGGAUUAGAUACCCUGGUAGGCGACGCUGUAAACGAUGAUUACUAGGUGUGGGGGGACUGACCCCUUCCGUGCCGCAGUUAACACAAUAAGUAAUCCACCUGGGGAGUUCGGCCGCAAGGUUGAAACUCAAAUGAAUUGACGGGG
rnacentral:rRNA from 1 species